rnacentral:ncRNA from 1 species
AAAAUUGUUAUACUUAAAAAGUCAAUGGUUGAACCUUGGGUCUAGCUGGACCUUUCCGUCUGCGGAAGGAGCGUCAUGGCCUCCACGAACUGUGGGGAAACUAGGACUUUUGCCACAAAAAAGCUAGUGAGUUUUAAUCAGGCCUUUGACUGAACAUUACCAUGGAUAAUAGACCAGGAUCUGCGAUUCCAUUUUGUUGGUUUCUAGGGCCGCCAUAAUGAUUAAUAGGGAUAGUGGGGGCGUCAGUAUCCAACUCUCGGAGGCGGAAUUCUUAGAUUUGCUCAAGUCUCACUGCCACGAAAGCAUUUACCAAAGAUGUUUUCAUUGCUCAAUUAUUAACAAAAAUAGGUAAUUGGAGAUGAUCAGAUACGAUCAAAGUCCUAAUCAAAUUUUCAUAAACGACGCCGACCAUGGAUCUGGGGAUCAGGUAGGUUGUCCAUACGAUCCUCUUGGCAUCUCACGAUCAGAAGGUUAAGUA